AGACUCAGCCGCCUCCCGGCGCGCACGAGCCCCCAGAAGCCAGCCAUCUUGGAAACGACACAGAAAGUCUGCCCGUGGCACGACGGGAGAGAUCCUCUGCUCCAAGGUGAAAAGAGAGCUUUGGGGGGAAGAGGCGUGUUACCCACAAAGGAGAAGACCCGGAGGUGCUGAAGCAGCAUGAAACGUGUUCCCAGAACCAUGUGCAGAAUGUGGGGUGGCGCUGGUAGUUCUGAGCACAGUUGCAACUGGCAUGACCUCUGGAGUCACACCUGAUAUGUCUGCCCAAGGACAAGGCUCCCUUGGCUCCC